GCUUAACGCGAAGAACCUUACCACCUUUUUGACAUGCCCGGACCGCCACAGAGAUGUGGCUUUCCCUUCGGGGACUAGGACACAGGUGCUGCAUGGCUGUCGUCAGCUCGUGUCGUGAGAUGUUGGGUUAAGUCCCGCAACGAGCGCAACCCUCGCGAUUAGUUGCCAUCAUUUAGUUGGGCACUCUAAUCGGACUGCCGGAGUUAAUCCGGAGGAAGGCGGGGAUGACGUCAAGUCCUCAUGGCCCUUACAGGGUGGGCUACACACGUGCUACAAUGGCGACUACAGAGGGCUGCAACCCAGCGAUGGUGAGCCAAUCCCUAAAAGUCGUCUCAGUUCGGAUUGUUCUCUGCAACUCGAGAGCAUGAAGUUGGAAUCGCUAGUAAUCGCGGAUCAGCAUGCCGCGGUGAAUACGUUCCCCCGGGUCU
rnacentral:rRNA from 1 species